rnacentral:rRNA from 1 species
CCCUUAGAUGUUCUGGGCCGCACGCGUGCUACACUGACCGGCGCAACAAGUUUCUUUCCUUGGCUCGAUAGGCCUGGGUAAUCUUUGAACGCCGGUCGUGAUGGGGAUAGAUCCUUGCAAUUUUUGAUCUUCAACGAGGAAUUCCUAGUAAAUGCGAGUCAUCAUCUCGCGUUGAUUACGUCCCUGCCCUUUGUACACACCGCCCGUCGCACCUACCGAUUGAAUGGACCGGUGAAGCCUCGGGAUUGCGAAUGCUUCGUGCGGACGCGAGAACUUGGCUAAACCUUACCAUUUAGAGGAAGGUGAAGUCGUAACA